rnacentral:rRNA from 1 species
UACGUAGGGUGCAGGCGUCAAUCGGAAUUACUGGGCGUAAAGCGUGCGCAGGCGGUUCGUUGUGUCGGCGGUGAAAGCCCCGGGCUCAACUGGGGAGGGUCACGCGAUACUGAUCGACUCGAAGGCAGGAGAGGGUAGUGGAAUUCCCGGUGUAGUGGUGAAAUGCGUAGAUAUCGGGAGGAACACCAGUGGCGAAGGCGACUACCUGGCCCACUCUUGACGCUGAGGCGCGAAAGCUAGGGGAGCGAACGGG